AACGUAGGGGGCACGCGUUGUCCGGAAUUACUGGGCGUCCCGGGCGUGUCGGCGGCCCUGUCCGUCCGGCGUUCCCCCCUUCUUCUUCCCCUCCUUCCUGCUUCUGAAACUGCAUAGCUUGAGUGCAGGAGAGGGAAGUGGAAUUCCCAGUGUAGCGGUGAAAUGCGUAGAUAUUGGGAGGAACACCAGUGGCGAAAGCGGCUUCCUGGCCUGUAACUGACGCUGAGGCGCGAAAGCGUGGGGAGCAAACAGG
rnacentral:rRNA from 1 species